rnacentral:rRNA from 1 species
AUAAAAAGUUUUAUUUUUAUUCUGAGGUUGGGAAAUCUUUCAAGUAGACUAGGAUUAGAUACCCUAUUAUUUAAGAUGUGAUUAAUUUUCUAUAAUUAUUAUUAGUUAAGUUCUUUAAAAUUAAACAAUUUGGCGGUAUCUUAGUCUAUUCAGAGGAACCUGUUUUUUAAUCGAUAGUCCACGAUAAUUUUUACUUUAAUUUUAAAUUUAUAUAUCGUCGUUAUUAAGAAUUUUAGGAGGAUUGAAAUUUUUAGGAUUCUUUAUUAGGAAUAAAUUCAGAUCAAGGUGUAGUUUAUAUUAAAGCUAAAAUGGGUUACAUUUCAUUUAUGAGUGGUUCUUUUUUAAAAAUUUUUUGAUAAAAUGGAUUUGAUGGUAAAUUUUUUAAUUAUGGGAAUUGAUUUAGCUCUAAGAUAUGCACAUAUCGCCC